CCUACGGGAGGCAGCAGUGAGGAAUAUUGGUCAAUGGGCGCGAGCCUGAACCAGCCAAGUCGCGUGAGGGAAGACGGCCCUACGGGUUGUAAACCUCUUUUGCCGGGGAGCAACGGGCGCCACGUGUGGCGCCACUGAGAGUACCCGGAGAAAAAGCAUCGGCUAACUCCGUGCCAGCAGCCGCGGUAAUACGGAGGAUGCGAGCGUUAUCCGGAGUUAUUGGGUGUAAAGGGAGCGUAGACGGCGAGGUAAGCCUGAAGUGGAAGCCCGCGGCCCAACCGCGGAACUGCUUUGGGAACUGUUUUGCUGGAGUAUGGGAGGGGUAAGCGGAAUUCCUGGUGUAGCGGUGAAAUGCGUAGAUAUCAGGAGGAACACCGGUGGCGAAGGCGGCUUACUGGACCAUAACUGACGUUGAGGCUCGAAAGCGUGGGGAGCGAACAGGAUUAGAUACCCGAGUAGUC
rnacentral:rRNA from 1 species